rnacentral:rRNA from 1 species
ACACAUGCAAGUCGUACGGAAGUUUUUAACUUUAGUGGCGGACGGGUGAGUAACACGUAAGAAUUUGCCUUUAGGAGGGGGAUAACAACUGGAAACGGUUGCUAAUACCCCAUAUGCUUUCGAGUGAAACGGUUUUUCCGCCUAAAGAGAAGCUUGCGGCUGAUUAGCUUGUUGGUAAGGUAAUGGCUUACCAAGGCGACGAUCAGUAUCUGGUUUGAGAGGACGAUCAGACACACUGGAACUGAGACACGGUCCAGACUCCUACGGGAGGCAGCAGUGGGGAAUUUUCCGCAAUGGGCGAAAGCCUGACGGAGCAAUACCGCGUGAGGGAUGACGGCCUAUGGGUUGUAAACCUCUUUUUUCAGGGAGGAAUCAAUGACGUGUACCUGAAGAAUAAGCAUCGGCUAACUCCGUGCCAGCAGCCGCGGUAAGACGGAGGAUGCAAGUGUUAUCCGGAAUCACUGGGCGUAAAGCGUCUGUAGGUGGUUUAAUAAGUCAACUGUUAAAUCUUGAGGCUUAACCUCGAAAUCGCAGUCGAAACUAUUAGACUAGAGUAUAGUAGGGGUAAAGGGAAUUUCCAGUGGAGCGGUGAAAUGCGUAGAUAUUGGAAAGAACACCAAUGGCGAAGGCACUUUACUGGGCUAUUACUAACACUGAGAGACGAAAGCUAGGGUAGCAAAUGGGAUUAGAUACCCUGGUAGUCC